rnacentral:rRNA from 1 species
GACGAGGGAUCCUAGCGUUGCUCGGAAUCAUUGGGCGUAAAGCGGGUGUAGGUGGCUUUGUAAGUCAGAUGUGAAAGCCCAGGGCUUAACCCUGGAAGUGCAUUUGAUACUGCGAAGCUUGAGUGUUGGAGAGGUCAUCGGAAUACCUGGUGUAGUGGUGAAAUACGUAGAUAUCAGGUGGAACACCGGAGGCGAAGGCGGGUGACUGGCCAAACACUGACACUGAGGCACGAAAGCGUGGGGAGCGAACAGG